rnacentral:rRNA from 1 species
UACGAAGGGGGCUAGCGUUGCUCGGAAUCACUGGGCGUAAAGCGCACGUAGGCGGAUUGUUAAGUCGGGGGUGAAAUCCUGGAGCUCAGCUCCAGAACUGCCUUCGAUACUGGCGAUCUUGAGUCCGGGAGAGGUGAGUGGAACUCCGAGUGUAGAGGUGAAAUUCGUAGAUAUUCGGAAGAACACCAGUGGCGAAGGCGGCUCACUGGCCCGGUACUGACGCUGAGGUGCGAAAGCGUGGGGAGCAAACAGG